CAAGAAGACUAUACCUUAUACAUCAGUUUUGGCUUCCAGCAGUCAUCUCCAAGGUGGAGCAAAACUUGAUUGCCCUUGCUGAAUUGAUCUGCUCCUCCCGGGAGAUGACUACUGGAAGCCAAAACUCGUAUUUGUGUGUGUGUAUGCUCUGUUUG